UAGACGCUUAACCCACCCAACCACCUAGGCUACCCUGGCUUAGGAGGAGUUAAUAAGGUGGGGCGGUAACAGUGAGGACAAACAGGAGGCUGGAUUCCAAGGGAGGCUAAGGACAGGGCAGUGGCUAUGGCAGCAAUGGGAGCGGAGAAGUGGGAAGAAAGACACCCUCCCCCCUCCACUUGACAGCUAUCAUAUGCAAACUAUUAGUCUGUUCUAGAAGGAUCACAGGGAACCAGCACUGAAGAAAUGAAAUUCAGCUAAUCCCUCCAAGAAACUGAAGUUUCAGGACAUUUGAAAGGCAGACACAGGCUGACUCCUGCCCACAGACCACCGAAAGCUAAAGUGUACCUGAAAGCCAU
rnacentral:lncRNA from 1 species